rnacentral:rRNA from 1 species
UACGAAGGGGGCUAGCGUUGUUCGGAAUCACUGGGCGUAAAGCGUACGUAGGCGGAUUGUUAAGUCAGGGGUGAAAGCCCGAGGCUCAACCUCGGAAUUGCCUUUGAUACUGGCUGUCUUGAGUCCGGGAGAGGUGAGUGGAACUCCUAGUGUAGAGGUGAAAUUCGUAGAUAUUAGGAAGAACACCAGUGGCGAAGGCGGCUCACUGGCCCGGAAGUGACGCUGAUGUACGAAAGCGUGGG